UACGUAGGGUGCAAGCGUUGUCCGGAAUUAUUGGGCGUAAAGAGCUUGUAGGCGGUUUGUCGCGUCUGCUGUGAAAUUUCGGGGCUCAACCCCAGAACUGCGGUGGUACGGGCAGACUAGAGUGUGGUAGGGGAGACUGGAAUUCCUGGUGUAGCGGUGAAAUGCGCAGAUAUCAGGAGGAACACCGGUGGCGAAGGCGGGUCUCUGGGCCGAAAUUGACGCUGAGGAGCGAAAGCGUGGGGAGCAAACAGG
rnacentral:rRNA from 1 species